GACGAACGCUGGCGGCGUGCUUAACACAUGCAAGUCGAACGAUGACGACCGAGCUUGCUCGGUCUGAUUAGUGGCGAACGGGGGAGUAACACGUGAGCAACCUGCCCUUCACUCUGGGAUAACCUCGGGAAAUCGGGGCUAAUACCGGAUAUGAGCUCCUGUCGCAGGGUGGGUGUGGGAAGGUUUUUCGGUGAAGUAUGGGCUCGCGGCCUAUCAGUUUGUUGGUGGGGUAGUGGCUCACCAAGGCGAUGACGGGUAGCCGGGCUGAGAGGGCGACCGGCCCCGCUGGGACUGAGAUGAGGCCCAGCCUACUCCGGGAGGCAGAAGUGGGGAAUAUUGCACAAUGGGCGAAAGGCUGAUGCAGCGAAGCCGCGUGAGGGAUGUCGGCAAUCGGGUUGUAAACCUAUUUCCGCAGGGAAGAAGCGAAAGUGACGGUACCUGCAGAAGAAGCGCCGGCUAACUACGUG
rnacentral:rRNA from 1 species